CGAAGGCAAGCGGAUCUCUUAAAGCUGUUCUCAGUUCGGACUGCAGUCUGCAACUCGACUACAUGAAGCCGGAAUCGCUAGUAAUCGCGGAUCAGAAUGCCGCGGUGAAUACGUUCCCGGGUCUUGUACACACCGCCCGUCACACCAUGGGAGUCGGAAAUGCCCGAAGUCUGUGACCCAACCGCAAGGAGGGAGCAGCCGAAGGCAGGUCGGAUGACUGGGGUGAAGUCGUAACAAGGUAGC
rnacentral:rRNA from 1 species